GGGGAUAUAGCUCAGCUGGGAGAGCGCUUCCAUGGCAUGGAAGAGGUCAGGGGUUCGAGCCCCCUUAUCUCCACCA
rnacentral:tRNA from 1 species